UACGGAGGGUGCAAGCGUUGUUCGGAAUUACUGGGCGUAAAGCGCGUGUAGGCGGCUUCUUAAGUCUGGUGUGAAAGCCCGGGGCUCACCCCCGGAAGUGCAUUGGAUACUGGGAAGCUAGAGUACCGGAGAGGAAGGUGGAAUUCCUGGUGUAGCGGUGAAAUGCGUAGAUAUCAGGAGGAACACCGGUGGCGAAGGCGACCUUCUGGACGGAUACUGACGCUGAGACGCGAAAGCGUGGGGAGCAAACAGG
rnacentral:rRNA from 1 species